rnacentral:rRNA from 1 species
AAUACAUUUUUACAAUACUGUGAACAAACCAGAGUGUAUAAAACAUGUAAUAUAUUAUAAUAUUUAGCAAUGAAUGUUUUAUCAUGGAAUAUUGCUUUUUAAUAUAAUAUCGAUGGAGAUAGUUGGAGUUAAGAGUACUGAUAGGCGAGCGGUGAAAUGCAUUGACCCUAUUAAGACUAACAAAAGCGAAAGCACUUAACUAGAUUAUUCUCUUUGUAUUAUUACAAUGAAGAGCGAAGGUUGGGGGAACAAAGAGGAUCAGAUACCCUCGUAGUCCUAUUUUUACAUCAAACUAUGGGAUUUCAAUCACACUUAUGUUCUACAAUAUUUUUUAUUAUAUAUAAUUGAGUACUUAAUUGUUUACUCUUAUAUUUAAUAUAAUUAUUUUUAUUAUUCAUUAUAUGUACUUUGAGCUCAUAUAAUAAUAUAGGUGAGAUGUAAGCAUUAUAGGAAAACUAAUAUAUAAGUAAUGUUAUAUUAUUAUGAUCCUUAUUUAUAAAAAUGUAAUGUGAUG